GGGGGAUGCCUUGGCUCUCAGAGACGAAGAAGGACGUGUUAAGCUGCGAUAAGCUACGGUGAGCUGCACAAAAGCGUUGAUCCGUAGAUUUCCGAAUGGGGCAACCCGGCUAGUUGAAGACUAGUCACCGAAAGGAGUGAACGCGGGGAACUGAAACAUCUAAGUACCCGGAGGAAGAGAAAACAAUAGUGAUUCCGCAAGUAGUGGCGAGCGAACGCGGACUAGCCCAAACCAUUAUCGUUACGGCGGUAGUGGGGUUGUAGGACUGAGACGUGGACUAAAUAAUUAAACUGGAAUGACUUGGGAAAGUCAGCCAUAGAGGGUGAGAGCCCCGUACAGGUAAGAUUAUUUUACCUAUCAGUAUCCUGAGUAGGGCGGAACCGGAGGAAUUCCGUCUGAAUUUGCCAGCACCAUCUGGUAAGGCUAAAUACUACUGAGAGACCGA
rnacentral:rRNA from 1 species